GUCUUACUCUGUCAGCUAAGCUGGAGUGCAGUGCAGUGAUGCGAUCGUGUAGUCUCGACCUCCUGGUCUCAAGUGAUUCUCCCACCUCAGCCUCCUGAGUAGCUGGGACUACAGUCGUGCACCACCUCAUCCAGUUAGUUUCAAAAACUUUUUUGUAGAGACAGGGUCUCACUGUGUUGCCGGGCUGGUCCUGAACUCCUGGCCUCAAGUGAUUCUUCUGCCUUAGCCUCCCAAAGUGCUGGGAUUAUAGGCAUGAACCGCUGCACCUGACUUACACCUGUUUUUAAUUGCUAUGCUAUACUGCAUAUUAGCCUUCACUAAGGUGAUUUACACUUUAAAUCAUUUGAACAGCAACUCAGAUGUACCACUGGAUUAAGCAAAGCAAGUGACUCCUUGGUUUUCAAUGUUCUAGUCUGGAAAAUGUCCAUAAUGGAAUCUAACACAUAGGGUUAUUUUUAGGGUUAAAGUUGUUAAUAUAUAUGAAAUAUCUAUUAAUUGUUAAGUCAUAUCCUAGCUAUUAAUAGAUAUUUAUACUAUGAACAAAGUUCAUGCUUAAGAAAUGUUAGUUCUCUUCUUUCUUUGCCACUUUCCUGUCCAAUCUAUAAUGCAUAUUAGCUCAAAUUUUGUGCAAUUCAAAGGAGAUAAACCAGUGACUGUCAUGACUAGUUUUACCCACCCCAUUCAAAAAGAUAAAACGUAUUUUAUUGAGGAUAUUUUAUAAAGAAAUUUCCAGCAUGUCUGAAGACAAUAGUGAGCAAAGUGUUGUGGAUUCAUGGAGGAAAAAAAGGAGCUUUAUCCUCAGAACCAGGAGGCAGAGAAAGAAAUUUGGGAAAGUCUCAUGGAGGGGAUGGUACUUUCAUUUAAGCUUCACAGAAAAAAUUCGGAAAAGUGGAGAAGGAAGCAACUGCAUUUUUUUUCUGAUACAGAAGCUGCAUUAGCAAAGGCAAACAAUACGCUGCAGGACUGUUGGAUCAGAGGGAGGAACAGCUACGCCUGGGAGUGGUUUCAAUGUAAGAGAAGUAUAAAGCUUGCUGGUGGCAGUUGA
rnacentral:lncRNA from 1 species